GUCAGCCCGGUGCCGCUCGGCUAUGGAAGGGUCCAAAGGGGCCGCGAAGAUGACGCCUCAGCGAACGUUAGUGGAAACCACUGCCGUAUACCUGUGCUCUCCGGCCCUGGGUCGGCUAGGAGAGAGAGGGACGCAGGGGGCAGUGCCGCAGGUAAAAGCUAGAAAGGAAGCCAAAAGGCAACGAGUAUGAUCUCUACGCUCCUGAACCAGCCAGGCGAAGUUUUACCUGGGAAACUAAAAGUCCACCUCACCUUGAAGUUCGUGUGAAGAAUUGUGCACCAUCACGGGAGAUAAGCAAAUAGAGCGAAUUUCAUACUGCUGCUUAUCCAGCAGGAAGUUCAUGGCAGUUUUUAAGAGUUCAUUCAUAAAGAACAUAUUACUGUUCCAUAUACGCAAAUGCUAAAAAGCUGUGGAGACCGGAUCCAUCUCUUACUGAUGGAUCAUGAGCUCUGGCAAGUCAACUAACGGCUACUCUGGGCUAGUCUUCCUUGUUUAAGAACCAAACAAACAAACAAACAAAACCGGAAGUGGACACGUGAAAUCGGUGCAAGGAAAGUAAUUUUGAGGGUUUUUCUAACACUUACCUGGGAUUCUAGCUAACCUUACUAGCUUGUCAUAAUAAAAUAAUUGUACACAGAAGUUAGGCUUCUCUUAUGAAAAAUACUUAAUUAGAUUGCAUCAGUGUUAGAUAUAACCACCUUUAUAAGACAUGCAAAAGGAAAAGCAGUCACAAAAUCUCAAGAUGAUUAUAUUAGAUUCUCAAACUGACUAUUUGAACUGCCCAGGUAAAUAUGGCAUCUCUCAUCUAAAUCUAAUCGAAUCUAAAUUUGAAUUUGAAAUCUGGUUGGAUAAUGAAGUUUUGGAUAGAAAGAUCCCUUAUUUUAAAUUAUUUAAAUGGAAAAAAAAUUAAUUCAGCCCGCCAAAAAUGCCAGUCAAUUUCCCCAAAUAUCAUUAAGUACUUGACUACUUACAAAAUAAUACAUUAAGGAUGUUCUAAUAAUUUAAAGCAGAGGCCAAUGUACUUUCUUCUGUAAAAGGCCACAUACUAAAUAUUUUAGAUUUUGUGGAUUAUACAGUCUCUGUCAUAUUUAAUUCUGUCCUUGAUGCAUACAGAUGUCAUAAAGGAUACACAAACACAUGGUUUGGCUCUGUUCCAUAAAAACUUUAUUUAUAAAGGUAGAUACCAGGAUAGAUUUGGCUCAGGACAGAGUGUACAGACCUCUGAUAUAAAGCAUUUAAAACAUCAUUAGUGGUACAUCUGUGUGUAGGAUGCAAGGUGCAAUGUUGGAUAGUAAUUUUAUUUUUCUUCCCCAUAGGAACAAAUAUAUACUAUAAUGGUAAAAGUGAGCAUGAAAUAGUAAGCUGAAAUAAUGAAAUGAAAAGUAGUAAACAGUAAAAUGAAAUAGAAGUAAACAAUGAAAUAGUAGUUUAAAGAUACUUGAUGAAUACAAAUAAAAUUUAACAAAAUAAAAAAGCAAUUUAAAAAAAUAGUUUGGUUGUGUAAUAAAUUAUUUUCUUAGGACUUAUUCCCCACUUGAGUUACUUGUGUUCUUUCCAACAUGUUUUGGUUUUCUUCUGCUGUUUUAACAAACUUAGGGUUUAACAAAACAACCAUUUUAUUUGUUCAUUAUUCUGUGGUAAGAAAUUCAGCCAGGGUUCAGCUGGGUGGGUUUUUUCCUCCAUAUGGCAAUUGCUUGUGUCUCUCAUCAGGUUGUAGCCAGAUAGCUGCUGAGGCUGGAAUAUCCAAAAUUAUGUGUUUGGAGACUAAGUGGGCUCAAUUGGAAAGCUAAGUCCUCCUUCACCCUAUCCAUGUGGCUCUGCAGGUGGCCAACUUGAGCUUUUGUU